rnacentral:rRNA from 1 species
UAGUGAUUACCCGCUGAACUUAAGCAUAUCAAUAAGCGGAGGAAAAGAAACCAACAGGGAUUGCUCUAGUAACGGCGAGUGAAGCAGCAAUAGCUCAAAUUUGAAAUCUGGCGUCUUCGACGUCCGAGUUGUAAUUUGUAGAGGAUGCUUCUGAGUAACCACCGACCUAAGUUCCUUGGAACAGGACGUCAUAGAGGGUGAGAAUCCCGUAUGCGGUCGGAAAGGUGCUCUAUACGUAGCUCCUUCGACGAGUCGAGUUGUUUGGGAAUGCAGCUCUAAAUGGGAGGUAAAUUUCUUCUAAAGCUAAAUAUUGGCCAGAGACCGAUAGCGCACAAGUAGAGUGAUCGAAAGAUGAAAAGCACUUUGGAAAGAGAGUUAAAAAGCACGUGAAAUUGCUAAAAGGGAAGGGAUUGCAACCAGACUUGCUCGCGGUCCGCCGGUCUUCUGACCGGUCUACUCGCCGCGUUGCAGGCCAGCAUCGUCUGGUGCCGCUGGAUAAGACUUGAGGAAUGUAGCUCCCUCGGGAGUGUUAUAGCCUCUUGUGAUGCAGCGAGCGCCGGGCGGGGUCCGC